rnacentral:rRNA from 1 species
ACGGAGGAUGCGAGCGUUAAUCGGAAUCACUGGGCGUAAAGCGCACGUAGGCGGUGUCGUAAGUCGGAUGUGAAAGCCCUCGGCUUAACCGGGGAACUGCAUUCGAUACUGCGAAUCUUGAGUGCCGUAGAGGGUGGCGGAAUUCCAGGUGUAGCGGUGGAAUGCGUAGAGAUCAGGCGGAACACCAAUGGCGAAGGCAGCCACCUGGGCGGCUACUGACGCUGAAGUGCGAAAGCGUGGGGAUCAAACAG